rnacentral:lncRNA from 1 species
UACUUGUGUCCAAGUUUCAACAUUUUAAUGGAUAAAAAUAAAAACUACAUCAUCAUGAGCUUUUCGGGUGAAUCAUUAUAAUGCAAUUUAGUAGGUGGUGACUAAUUGGUACGCUUUAUCAUUUUGUGUAGGAACAAUAAUAUCUAGGUUCAUAAUUUUAAAUAGAUCUAGUUAUUAAAGAUAACUAUUGAAUUCAACAAUAAAACUUAGUAAAAAUAAUUUUAUAGAUAAAAAAAAAAAAAAAUACUUCAAAUAUCGUACUUGUGAUUUUGUACUUUCUCACUUAGUACCUUAUGAUUUAAAGUGUAUCACUUUCGUACCUGUAGUUUUAUCUUUCUCUUUUUGUUAUUCCUUUUACUAAUUUUUUUUGUUAAAUUAGUGACAAAUUUAAAAUUAAAGAAUAUUAAAGUGAAUANUGGUUUUAUUUUUUUCUUUUUGUCACCCCUUUGUUAACUUUUCGUUAAAUCAUAUAUAAAAAAAUUUCAGAUAACUUUUUGUUAAAUCGAAUACCUGUAGUUUUAUCUUUCUCUUUUUGUUAUUCCUUUUACUAAUUUUUUUUGUUAAAUUAGUGACAAAUUUAAAAUUAAAGAAUAUUAAAGUGAAUAUUAAAUAAACUACUGGUAUUCGAUUUAACAAAAAGUUAUCUGAAAUUUUUUUAUAUAUGAUUUAACGAAAAGUUAACAAAGGGGUGACAAAAAGAAAAAAAUAAAACCACAGAGUACUAAAUUGAUAUACUUUAAACUACAGAGUACUAAAGUGAAAAUGUGCGAAAUCACAAGGGUGGAAAUUAAAGU